rnacentral:misc_RNA from 1 species
UUUAAUUCUCAUGUAUGUUCAGACGCAAACGCUUAACCGCAUAAAUGCGACGCCGGAGCGCCGAAGCACGGGUUGCUUCCACAGGUUUGAAGGUUGAAGGCCGAAGCCAUUCAGUAAUGAUCCCUCCGCAGGUUCACCUACGGAGA